UACGUAGGGGGCAAGCGUUGUCCGGAAUUACUGGGCGUAAAGAGCUCGUAGGUGGUUUGUCGCGUUGUUCGUGAAAACUCACAGCUCAACUGUGGGCGUGCGGGCGAUACGGGCAGACUGGAGUACUGCAGGGGAGACUGGAAGUUCCUGGUGUAGCGGUGGAAUGCGCAGAUAUCAGGAGGAACACCGGUGGCGAAGGCGGGUCUCUGGGCAGUAACUGACGCUGAGGAGCGAAAGCGUGGGGAGCGAACAGG
rnacentral:rRNA from 1 species